rnacentral:rRNA from 1 species
UAGGGAAUCUUCCGCAAUGGGCGAAAGCCUGACGGAGCAACGCCGCGUGAGUGAUGAAGGUCUUCGGAUCGUAAAACUCUGUUAUUAGGGAAGAACAAAUGUGUAAGUAACUAUGCACGUCUUGACGGUACCUAAUCAGAAAGCCACGGCUAACUACGUGCCAGCAGCCGCGGUAAUACGUAGGUGGCAAGCGUUAUCCGGAAUUAUUGGGCGUAAAGCGCGCGUAGGCGGUUUUUUAAGUCUGAUGUGAAAGCCCACGGCUCAACCGUGGAGGGUCAUUGGAAACUGGAAAACUUGAGUGCAGAAGAGGAAAGUUGAAUUCCAUGUGUAGCGGUGAAAUGCGCAGAGAUAUGGAGGAACACCAGUGGCGAAGGCGACUUUCUGGUCUGUAACUGACGCUGAUGUGCGAAAGCGUGGGGAUCAAACAGG